AGAGUUUGAUCAUGGCUCAGGACGAACGCUGGCGGCGUGCUUAACACAUGCAAGUCGAACGAGGUUCAUCUGGUGGCAACACCAGAGAAGACCGAGUGGCGAACGGGUGAGUAACACGUGAGCAACCUGUCCCGAAGACUGGGAUAACACCGGGAAACCGGUGCUAAUACCGGAUACCCCCACCGGGUCGCAUGGUCUGGUGAGGAAAUGCCUGUUUCCUAAAAGAUGCAGACGCUUCGGGAGGGGCUCGCGGCCUAUCAGCUAGAUGGUGGGGUAACGGCCUACCAUGGCAUCGACGGGUAGCUGGUCUGAGAGGACGAUCAGCCACACUGGGACUGAGACACGGCCCAGACUCCUACGGGAGGCAGCAGUGGGGAAUCUUGCGCAAUGGGCGAAAGCCUGACGCAGCAACGCCGCGUGGGGGACGAAGGCCUUCUGGGUUGUAAACUCCUUUCGGGAGGGACGAUUGUGACGGUACCUGCAGAAGAAGCCCCGGCCAACUACCUGCCAGCAGCCGCGGUAAUACGUAAGAGAAGGAGGGGGGGGUGGGGGAUUCAUUGGGCGUAAAGAGCUCGUAGGCGGCUUGGCAAGUCAAAGUGUGGAAAUCUCCCAGGCUUUAACCUGGAGUCGCCCACUCGAUACUGGCCAUGGGCUAGAGUCCCGGUAGGGGACCAUUGGGAAUUUCCUGGUGGUAGCGGUGAAAUGCGCAGAUAUUCAGGGAGGAAACACCUCAGUGGUCGAAGGCUGUGUGUCUGGCUCCGUCCUG
rnacentral:rRNA from 1 species